CGUAUUCGUUAAAAAGUGUCUCGAUCCGACCGCGUUUCGUUCGACUGAAUAUACUUAAUACAACAUGGAGUACGUCAUCAACAUAACGAGAUCGAAUCUCCGUGUGGCAUAUAAUACGAUCGCAUAAAGAUCGUCUCGAGCACGACGCAUGUAUACGAGACAUAUUUUUUAUGUUUAAUUUAGUAGAAGCUAUUUUAAAUUAUUACGAGAAAAAUUCACAGAACCAUAUAAACCCCCGGAGAAAUUGCGUUACAUUUGAGUGAAUUGGAAAAACAUUUAUAUCGGCUGAACGAAUUAGGCCUAUGACCGAAACUCAGUGAAUAAGUAAAAAGGCGCACGAUUUCGACGGGUCAGUCGUAAUAUCAUUACUAUGUUUUUAAAUUACGUACUAUUUAUAAUAAUAUUGUUUUCAUGCG